rnacentral:rRNA from 1 species
UACAUACCGUCCAAACGUUAUUCGGAAUUACUGGGCUUAAAGGGUACGUAGGCGGCGCUGUCAGUCGGGUGUGAAAUCCCUCGGCCCAACCGAGGAACUGCGCCCGAUACUGCAGUGCUUGAGGGAGACAGAGGUAAGCGGAACUGAUGGUGGAGCGGUGAAAUGCGUUGAUAUCAUCAGGAACACCAGUGGCGAAAGCGGCUUACUGGGUCUCUUCUGACGCUGAGGUACGAAAGCUAGGGGAGCGAAGGGG